GAGGGUGAGAUGCUGCCCAGGUGUGUGGCUGUGGUUGGGUCCCUGUGGUGCUGCUCUGGAAAGGGGGUGAGUGUAUGUGUUUAGACUGUGGGCUGUGUACACCCUGAAGUUGUGUGUCUACAAAAGCUGGGUUGUGUGUGUUGUAUGUUGUCCUAAAGGAGCGUGUGACCAUGAGAGGGGUGUGUCUGUCACUGGAGGAGUACAGAGUCCAUCUGGGGCCUGGUGGUGGUGGGCUGUGGAUUGGUCUGGGGUGUCCCUUGGGCCGAUGUGAGUCCUGACCCCUUCUUCUCCUUCCUAGACAUUUGUCUUCACCGACAGCCCAGACAAAGGCCUCCAGGAGAGACUGGGGUCCCACCUUGUGGUCACCAACUGCUCCGCGGAACACAGCCACCCAGCUCUGUCCUGCAAGAUGGCUGCUGAGUUCGACACCUUCUUG
rnacentral:ncRNA from 2 species